rnacentral:misc_RNA from 1 species
AAGUCGUAACAAGGUUUCCGUAGGUGAACCUGCGAAAGGAUCAUCAACAAAUCUAAAUAAUGUUGCAAGCCUCUUUCUUUUUCUUUUUCAUCUUUUUCAUUUGAGGAAGGUGGAGAAGGGCGGAAAGAGGUUGGCAGCAAUAUACCAAUGUGAAUUGACACUAUCUGCUACCCACCUUUAGGUGAUUGUGUAGAAUGUGUUUAUUAAGUCUAUGCUGUUUUGACAGCAUAAACAUUAACGAGUUUAAAUAGAGUCUGUUUAAAAUAUAUAAUCUUAUACAACUUUUAACAAUGGAUCUCUUGGCUCUU